UACGUAGGGUCCGAGCGUUGUCCGGAAUUAUUGGGCGUAAAGAGCUCGUAGGUGGUUUGUCGCGUUGUUCGUGAAAACCGGGGCUUAACCCUCGGCGUGCGGGCGAUACGGGCAGACUGGAGUACUGCAGGGGAGACUGGAAUUCCUGGUGUAGCGGUGGAAUGCGCAGAUAUCAGGAGGAACACCGGUGGCGAAGGCGGGUCUCUGGGCAGUAACUGACGCUGGAGGAGCGAAAGCGUGGGGAGCGAACAGG
rnacentral:rRNA from 1 species